rnacentral:rRNA from 1 species
AGUGCUGCAUGGCUGUCGUCAGCUCGUGUCGUGAGAUGUUGGGUUAAGUCCCGCAACGAGCGCAACCCUUAUCCCCAGUUGCCAUCAGGUAAAGCUGGGAACUCUGGGGAGACUGCCGGUGAUAAACCGGAGGAAGGCGGGGAUGACGUCAAGUCCUCAUGGCCCUUACAUCCCGGGCUACACACGUGCUACAAUGGCAGGUACAGAGGGCUGCGAAGCCGCGAGGUGGAGCGAAUCCCAGAAAACCUGUCUCAGUCCGGAUUGAAGUCUGCAACUCGACUUCAUGAAGGCGGAAUCGCUAGUAACCGCGAAUCAGCAGGUCGCGGUGAAUACGUUCCCGGGCCUU